GUUAAUGUAGCUUAAACAGCAAAGCAAGGCACUGAAAAUGCCUAGAUGAGUAU
rnacentral:tRNA from 1 species